rnacentral:rRNA from 1 species
AGCAGCCGCGGUAAUUCCAGCUCCAAUAGCGUAUAUUAAAGUUGUUGCAGUUAAAAAGCUCGUAGUUGAAUUUCGGGGUCAGUAGGUUGGUCGUGCCACCGGUACGUACUGGUCUCACUGAUUCCUCCUUCCUGAUGAGCUGUAAUGCCAUUAAUUUGGUGUUGCAGGGAAUCUGGACUGUUACUUUGAAAAAUUAGAGUGUUUAAAGCAGGCUAACGCUUGAAUACAUUAGCAUGGAAUAAUGAAAUAGGACGUUCGAUCCUAUUUUGUUGGUUUCUAGGAUUGACGUAAUGAUUAAUAGGGAUAGUUGGGGGCAUUAGUAUUCAAUUGUCAGAGGUGAAAUUCUUGGAUUUAUUGAAAACUAACUACCGCGAAAGCAUUUGCCAAGGAUGUUUUCAUUAAUCAAGAACGAAAGUUAGGGGAUCGAAGACGAUCAGAUACCGUCGUAGUCUUAACCAUAAACUAUGCCGACUAGGGAUCGGAUGAUGUUAAUUUUUAAUGUACUCAUUCGGCGCCUUAA